UUUUUAACUUCUCAUUAUCUGUGAUUAUUUUGAUGUCCAGAUAGUGGAUACUCUCUUGGCUUAGCUUGCUUAUUCCUUAGAGAGAGAUCAUAAGUAUCUAAAGUAAAAGCCUUAGUAAAAUCUUGUAACCUUGUGUUGUCUUUCCAUUGACAAAUCUCACCUAUAAUUUUAAGGCUGGUUGGAAUGUCUUUAUGCACUGAUUUUCUACAUUUCUAAGUGCUAGCUCUGUCAAGAGGCUUGAUAUCAGGCUACCUAUUGUUAUCCCUUAGUUUUUUCAUAGAUUUUAUCAUUAAGCUUGAAAUACAAGCCACAUGGGCUAUUUCUCUUAGUAGAGGUACCAUUUCCUGGGCUUUUGGGAUGUUCUCCAACAUAAACUUAUAUUUCUAUAAGUUUAUGCCGGUCAGCUCAAGAUGUAGGGAUGGGUAUAGGCUCUCAAAGUCCUACAUUGCAAGUAUGUCACUUUGAUCCCAUUUGUUGCUAUGUAUUUUUGUUAAGACAUUUGUUAUUACAAUUGAUAAUUUAUCUGUUCCUCUCAGUAUUGAUAUGUACCAUAGGACCAUUACACUUUCUAGGUUAUGUGGGGACUAAUCUCUUCUCUACUAUUGAUCUUGCAGUCAAUGGAUUCUUAUGGGUUUUCACAUACACCAUCUAGAGCAGGCUGGUGCACUUAUUUUCCCAUGUUCCCAUAUUGAUAGAAAGAAUUUGCUUGGUUAUCUUAAUUAUCAUGGUUGAUAGUUUCAUGGCAGGAUCCGUAUAUACUGCAAAUGAAUUCUACCAUGUAUGAUAUAUGUAUUCA
rnacentral:lncRNA from 1 species